rnacentral:rRNA from 1 species
UACAGAGGUCCCAAGCGUUGUUCGGAUUCACUGGGCGUAAAGGGUGCGUAGGCGGUCGGGUAAGUCUGAUGUGAAAUCUCACAGCUUAACUGUGAAACUGCAUUGGAUACUAUCCGGCUCGAGGAAUGGAGGGGAGACUGGAAUACUUGGUGUAGCAGUGAAAUGCGUAGAUAUCAAGUGGAACACCAGUGGCGAGGGCGAGUCUCUGGACAUUUCCUGACGCUGAGGCACGAAAGCCAGGGGAGCAAACGGG